UUGGGGGUUUCCGAUACAGGAGAUGCUGAUAGGGAACGAAUGUUAGUUUGGAUGGAAGCUAUAUUAGAAGAAAUGGACUCGCAGGACGACUUCAUGAGGACGAUAGAGUCGGCAGAAUCAAUAAGGUCUCUGUACCGGUUGCCAACCAGCUGGCGAAGCUCCUCCUUCUUGUCCUGGAUCCGUUUUCUAGUUGUGGUUUCCACAUCCCGAAUUUGGGAAAUCGGUUUCGUACGGAAUAGUGUCUCCG
rnacentral:misc_RNA from 1 species